GGACGGGUGAGUAACACGUAAAGACUUGCCCUGCAGUCUGGGACAACUAUUGGAAACGAUAGCUAAUACCGGAUAUUGCUGCAUGGCGAAAGCUGUAUGCGCUGCAGGAGAGCUUUGCGUCCCAUUAGUUAGUUGGUGAGGUAACGGCUCACCAAGACCGCGAUGGGUAGCCGGCCUGAGAGGGUGAACGGCCACAAGGGGACUGAGACACGGCCCUUACUCCUACGGGAGGCAGCAGUGGGGAAUAUUGGACAAUGGACCAAAGUCUGAUCCAGCAAUUCUGUGUGCACGAUGAGGUCUUAGGAUUGUAAAGUGCUUUCAAUCGGGAAAAAGAAAGUGAUGGUACCGAUAGAAGAAGCGACGGCUAAAUACGUGCCAGCAGCCGCGGUAAUACGUA
rnacentral:rRNA from 1 species